rnacentral:ncRNA from 2 species
UUCCGUCCAAGGCUAAAUACGGGC